AGAUUAAGUUAUUAAGGGCGCACGGUGGAUGCCUUGGCACUAGAAGCCGAUGAAGGACGUUACUAACGACGAUAUGCUUUGGGGAGCUGUAAGUAAGCUUUGAUCCAGAGAUUUCCGAAUGGGGAAACCCAGCAUGAGUUAUGUCAUGUUAUCGAUAUGUGAAUACAUAGCAUAUCAGAAGGCACACCCGGAGAACUGAAACAUCUUAGUACCCGGAGGAAGAGAAAGAAAAUUCGAUUCCCUUAGUAGCGGCGAGCGAAACGGGAAGAGCCCAAACCAACAAGCUUGCUUGUUGGGGUUGUAGGACACUCUAUACGGAGUUACAAAG
rnacentral:rRNA from 1 species